rnacentral:rRNA from 1 species
UACGAAGGGGGCUAGCGUUGCUCGGAAUGACUGGGCGUAAAGGGCGCGUAGGCGGAUUGCACAGUCGGGCGUGAAAUUCCUGGGCUUAACCUGGGGGCUGCGUUUGAGACGUGUGGUCUGGAGUGCGGAAGAGGGUCGUGGAAUUCCCAGUGUAGAGGUGAAAUUCGUAGAUAUUGGGAAGAACACCGAUGGCGAAGGCAGCCAUCUGGACCGACACUGACGCUGAGGCGCGAAAGCGUGGGGAGCAAACAGG